rnacentral:rRNA from 1 species
UGAACCUGCGGAGGGAUCAUUACAAGUGACCCCGGUUUACCACCGGGAUGUUCAUAACCCUUUGUUGUCCGACUCUGUUGCCUCCGGGGCGACCCUGCCUUCGGGCGGGGGCUCCGGGUGGACACUUCAAACUCUUGCGUAACUUUGCAGUCUGAGUAAACUUAAUUAAUAAAUUAAAACUUUUAACAACGGAUCUCUUGGUUCUGGCAUCGAUGAAGAACGCAGCGAAAUGCGAUAAGUAAUGUGAAUUGCAGAAUUCAGUGAAUCAUCGAAUCUUUGAACGCACAUUGCGCCCCCUGGUAUUCCGGGGGGCAUGCCUGUUCGAGCGUCAUUUCACCACUCAAGCCUCGCUUGGUAUUGGGCAACGCGGUCCGCCGCGUGCCUCAAAUCGACCGGCUGGGUCUUCUGUCCCCUAAGCGUUGUGGAAACUAUUCGCUAAAGGGUGUUCGGGAGGCUACGCCGUAAAACAACCCCAUUUCUAAGGUUGACCUCGGAUCAGGUAGGGAUNGCCG